GCAGUGUGUUUUAUAGAGGGCUCGACAGGGUUCGGGUGGGUGCUGAAGGGGGGCUUUAGAAGGGGCCAGAGGAGGCUGCUCUCGCAGAGCAUGCAGGGCGCUGCAGGACCGUGGGGGAAGCACACACGAUGAGUAUCUUAGCAUUUUCAAGUACAUUAAUCAUGGAGAAAAGUAGUUUUCUUUUUUUGUUUGUUUGCUUUUGAUAAUUCGUGAGCGAUGUUGAGGCGAGGAGGCCACAGAGCCGGUUAUUACUCUGCUGAUUAUUCUAAAGGCUCUCUGUGUGGUAAAAGUGUCCAGGAGGAACGUGAGCAUUCCGAAGAAGGGGAGGUUCUUAGCACCGCAAGGCAGAUCAGCCAGAAUCUCCUUAACAAAGGGAACAAUGUGGGCCGGACCUCACCACAGUGAUCCUACCCUGCGCUUCCACACUCCCCCAGCUUCGGAGAAGAUGCGCUGUGGGGCCUAAGAUGGAGAACAAACGGCAAGGGUCCAGCUGAGUCCUCGCCUCCACCAACUCAUCUGUCGCAGAACCCAGAGUAGGAGUCUGGUCUCAGUUAAAAUUCCAUCUGCUCUUGGUGGGCCAGCUGCUCAAGAAAGAAAGCAAUUUUAGGAAGGCUGAACUCAGAGGAAAGAGGUGGCAAAAUGAAGAGAAAGGUCUGUGGAGGGAGAGAUGAACAGCAGGGAGGACGGCUGGAGGCUGGGAGGAAGAUCUGCCCCACCCUGCUUAUGGCUGGAAGCAGAGAGCUUUUGCGUUGAAUGUGUGUGCUAGGGCUGAGCCACACCACAACAAGCAACAGGCUUUUCCAGUUCACAAUCUUGAGAAUCUUGAGGUUCACAGUGUGAUCAAAUAUCCUGCAACAGGCGUUGACAAAGAAACUCAGAAAAUGACAGCAAGCAAAUGUGCAUGCUCCAUCAGCCAGCGUCACCCAACAUUUUUGGAUUACUUCAAUGGAACUCAAAGGACUGGAUUGUGUUCCUGACCUAUGCCUUGGCUGAGAAAUGGAUGCUCCGACAGCCCAGAACAACAUAAUACCUACAUCUAUGCCAGCAGUUGCUAUUGGAAUGAGGGACCUUGCAGUCUUGAGGCAGGGUAUCGGAAAGACACUGUCUCCCAGAUGUUGCUGAUUAGACACAUUGAGUUUUCUGCAACAAGUUAUAGGGGGAAAAUAUAAUAGGACAUCGCAGCAUCUAAAUUCUAACUGCAUUAAAGGUUCAUUGUUAAGAUGUUAGUGCAGAAAAGCAUGCAAAGAAGAAUAA